AUCAAAUCUUCACAGGAAUCAGAGACUAGAAAUUGUCUGAACACAUGCAGUUCCAGAGCAUUUAAUUAGAAAAGAUAAUAGUAAUGACCAAACAGACAGAACAGAUAAAAAAAACAAUUAUAACAGAUCCAGAUAGAAGGAAGCCCAUCUAUAAAAAUCAAUAGAAUUCAAACAGUAUUGAAAAAUGGACACCAGUCAAAAUCCAACUAUACUUCAAACCACUUAGAAAGCAAUAUAACCCAUUCCAACAACAUCAUAUGGAUCAGAAUUGCAAUAACUAUAGAUAUGAUUUUCACUUAACAAAUGAUUGCCCAGCUAAAAAUGCAGUAUAUAAUAAAUGCGAGGGAAAGAGCUACUACGCCAGAUUUUGCAGAAACAGUACAUCAAACAUCAGAGAAAUCACUAAUCAUCCAAGAUCUGUUUUUUAAAUUCCAAUUCUUUCUACUAAUAUACAUAUGUAAAAAUUCAAAUAAUCAGCUUAUUAGAUCAAGAAAAAAUAUUUAUUUUUAGAAAAAAUAGUUUUGAAUAAGCCUUUUUCAUUUAUAUUCUAAAAAUAAUCAAAAUCUUUGUUUUUUUUAAAUAAUUGAUUGAGUUUUUUUAUGACCCACUUUUUAUUGAAAAUUAUUUAUAAUU
rnacentral:lncRNA from 1 species